CAAAUGCUACAACCGCACAGAACAGGUUUUUAAACUUGACCAAGGCGUUUCCGCUUUUCUAAAGUACCUGUAUGGCGAGUCUGAGUCAGUUA
rfam:Virgibacillus necropolis strain LMG 19488 chromosome, complete genome.